rnacentral:lncRNA from 1 species
ACCACGAGCCCACUCAGAAGCUUCAAGAUCCUCGCUUAAGCUUCGAUUACGACGAAGCAAGAAAGGACAUGAAGGAGCCAGCAUUAAGGUAAGUCACUUUCUCCUUAUUUUCUAUGAAAAAUCUAUAUGUAGGAACAAAGAAAAAAAAAACUAAAUCAGAACAUGGAAAAAUAAAUAUGAAAUCACCUUAGUUUUUCAUUGAUUUUUCUUUUGUAUCUAGUAUUUCGUAAUCCCUAUUUUUACAGAUUACAUUUGGUUUUAUAGUCGAAGAGAAGAAAAAAUAAGAAUAAAUCAAAAAAAUCCAAUUUCUUUGCUGUUAUUUCUAUUUCUCAUAUAUUCUGUUGCAGGUACAAACGGAGCCAGCUGGAGGUGGUGACGUACGUGGGAUGAGGCAUGAAGACGCAUGUGGGGCUGGUACGGAGGCAGCUGCGGUUCGAUGGAAGCUGCUGGAAACCAGUUACGGCACAAUGGAAAAAGGACCUUAGGGUUCCAAAAGUUUCAAUCUGCUUGGGCCAUUUCGGCCAAUUUCGGAAUUAGGCCAUUAGGUCUAUAAAUUAAGUUUAGCUUGGGUAAUAAUUUGGGCUAAAAACUUGUAUUUGGGUCUGGUGAAAAUUGUAAUGAAUUAUUUGGAUUUUGGGCUUUAAUUAAUUUGGGACUUUUAUUGUUUUUUUUUAUAUUUUGGUUUUUUAUUAUUAUCUUUUAGUUUCAUAGUGGGCCGGGCAAAUUGGGUCUGCUACAUCUGGCCCUCUUUGCUCAUUGUCGUGUAACAAGAAUGGAGCAGACUUUAAAAUGAUCGAUUUUUCCCGGUCUUAUUGAAUACUGGCUUUUUGGCUCUCUUUUUCUUCAUGUAGCCUCACUUUAAUCCACCGCUGGAACUUCAAGGAGAAUGGAAUUAUUAAUUUCAACCUGCUCCACUGCAACUUCAGGGAGACAAGGUUGAUGACUUAAAUCUGUUCCAUUGCCGAUACAUGGAGAUAAGAUUCGCUGUCUUCGAUCUGCUCCACUAUUGCUUAGGGAGAUAAGAUCUUCAAUCUCCAGUCUGCUUCCUUGCUACCUUAAGAAGAUAAGACUACAAUCACCAACCUGCUCUCUUGUUACCUCAGAGAGAUAAGGCUAGUAACUAAAAUCUGCUCCAUUGUCGAUACAUGGAGAUAAGAUUCGCCAUCUUCGAUCUGCUCCACUACUGCUUAGGGAGAUAAGAUCUUCCAUCUUCAGUCUGUUUCCCUGCUACUUCAAGAAGAUAAGACUACAAUUGCCAACCUGCUCUCUUGCUACCUCAGAGAGAUAAGGCCAGUGACUAAAAUAUGCUCCAUUGUAGAUACAUAGAGAUAAGAUUCGCCACAUUCGAUCUGCUCCACCACUACUUAGGGAGAUAAGAUCCUCAAUCUUCAGUCUGUUUCCUGCAACCUCAGGAAGAUAAGACUACCAUCUUCAACCUGCUCUCUUGCUACCUCAGAGAGAUAAGGCUAGUGGCUAAAAUUUGCUCCAUUGUUGAUACAUGGAGAUAAGAUUCGCCAUCUUCGAUCUGUUCCACUACUGCUUAGGGAGAUAAGAUCUUCAAUCCUCAGUCUGCUUCCUUACUACAUCAGAAAGAUAAGAUUACAAUCUCUAACCUGCUCUCUUGCUACCUCAAAGAGAUAAGGGUGGUGGCUUAAAUCUGCUCCAUUGCUGAUACAUGGAGAUAAGAUUCGCCAUCUUCGAUCUGUUUCACUACUGUUUAGGGAGAUAAGAUCCUCAAUCUUCAGUCUGCUUUCUUGCUACGUCAGAAAUAUAAGACUCAAUCUUCAACCUGCUCUCUUGCUACCUCAGAGAGAUAAGGCUGAUGCUUAAACCUACUCCAUUUCCAAUACAUGGAGAUAAGAUUCACCGUCUUUGGUCUGUUCCACCGUAACUUCAGGGAGAUAAGACCUGUCACUUCAACCUGCCCCACUACAACUUCAAGGAGAUAAGGUUUGCUAUAAUCUUCUAUCUAUUCCACUGCAACUUCAGAGAUAUAAGAUCUAACUUUAUCAAUGUUACUACACCGUCCUCUUGGACAUGUCCUGUUGACUCGGUUUCAUGUAUCAUGCUUAUGCCAAAUAAUUAGGAUGCUAUGAUCAAAAUGAAUCAAAUGCUCCUAACUAGAUGUGAUGCUUAUGUCAACUAAUUAGGACACUAUAAUCGAAAUGAAUCAAAUGUUCCUAACUAGAUAUGAUGCUUAUGUCAAAUAAUUAGGAUGCUAUGAUCGAAAUGAAUCAAAUGCUCCUAACUAGAUGUGUUAUGAAUGAUAUAUGAAUGCCAAAAUGAGAAUGAUUUUUUUAAAUGAUCUUUUUUUUUUAAAAUGCUUAAGGUAUCAUCGCUCAUUGUUCAUCUAGGCAUUAUCACUAAUUUAUUAUGCUGGCAUCUUGUUCGGUUGGUAUUCUUGACAGAAAACCCAAAGAAACAAUCACAUUCUGCUCAGCAAGCUUACCCCGCUGUGAUUCCAAUGUCCCUUACACUGUAACUUCUGGGACAUAAAGUUUGAACUUCCCACUGCAACUUCAAGGGAAUAAUCAUUUGAUUUCUUCUAUCCAUUUUGCAUAAUCUUCAAUCAAUUUGAUAUGUUAUACCAUUUCCUGGGUGUAAUGAACAAAUAUAUAUGUCUGAUAUCUGCAUGAAUGUAGAAUGCCAUUUUUCUUUUCUCAAGAAUAACCCUAUUACUCGUUCUUUUUCGGGAUUAUAACACCAAUUAAUAUCUUUGACAGAAAAUUCAAGGAGAUAAUCUCAAUUUCGGCUUAAAUAUUUCCAACCCUUAAGCUUGGUGAGUUUUAGACAAUAGUCCUGUUUCAAGCUCCUGUAUUAUUUAGAAACUUCCCCAAGUAAUAUGCGAACCCUUUUUAUGAAAGUAUUAUUAGUCAAAAAAUCUUUAUUUCAAUGCAGAAUGCUUGAAAAAGAUCAUAACCAUGGACAAGAAAGGAAUUAAUUGAGAAUAUAGCUCGAAACAAGCAAAUGCAAUCCAAAAAAAAAAUUUAUUGGGACGUGACCUGGAAAGAAUAAGGUAAUCAAAGAUAACAACAAAAAAAGGGGUAAAAAUAGAAAGCUAGGUGCCUUAAAUAUCGCAGCUUGAGCUUUUUUGUACCAACUUCUUAAGGACCAUUCUGAGCUCAAUCUGUGUUUAGGGGAUCCGAAGUACUUUGUCGAUGCCCCAAGAUGUAACAUACUUCUUUCAUUGUUAAUUCAGGCAUAGCAAGACUACUGUAUGCCCCAUUUUGAUCCAAAUUUGAGCCGCUCUUUUCGGGUUUUCAACUCAAAUCCCCUUUGGUCUCAAAGCGCCCUUUGCUGGUUUUCGCCUUGGCCUCUCCUUUUCUUUUUAUCUUUUUUUUUAUUUUUUUUUAUUUUUUUAUUGAUUCUUUUUUUAUUUUUUCUCUCCUUUUUUUAUUUUAAUUUUUUUAUUUCGAUUUUUUUAAGGUCUCAAGGCACCCUUUGCGGGUUUUCACAUUGGCCUCUCCCCUUUUAAGUAGAAUAUUCAUUGACUGGAUGUGCCAUCCGUCUUGGUCAAUAUCAAUGCUCCUUCAGAACAGACCCUCUUUACUACAUAAGGUCCCUCCUAAUUUGGCAUAUUUCUUCCUUUAAAGUCCUUUCGUAUAAGAAUCAUCCUCUUCAAUAUCGAGUUCCCUUCAUGGAAUUUUCUUAUAUCAUUCAUUUCUGGUGCAUCGGACCACGACAGAAUCUCCUCUCUUCUAAUUCAACUGAUCAUAUCGAGUUUAGAUCCAUUUUGCCUUAUCCAACUUUAACUCUGACAAAACUCGAAGACAAAGAAUCUCGUCUUUAAAACCGUUUUUAUCCCAUAAACCAAUGAACAAUGUUUACCCCAGCGAAGGUCCUGGCCAACGUUCGAUAAGUAUAGAGGGUAAAUGAUAACUUCUUUAUGCCAAUUAGGAGUGAGCAAAAUUCGAUUCGACUCGAAAAAAUAAAAUAAAAAACUGGAAUUUCGAGUUAAAUGAAUCGGGUUAUUCGAGUCAACUCGAAUUUUUUUCAAAUUUCGAGUUCGAGUCGAGUUGAGUUUUUGAAUUCGACUAACUCAAAUAAUUCAAAUAUCAAACUAUAAUAUUUUACAUUUUUACUCCAAACUCUCAAACCUUUUUACUUUUCUCUCAAAACUUUUACUCCUUCCCACUUUCCCCUAAAAACUUUUACUCCCUUCCCAUCCCAACCCCGCAAUUUACCCAAAAUCCAUUUCCCACCAAAAUUUUACUCUCCAAUUUACUUUUUUUUUUCAAAAUUUUACUCCCAAAAACCCUCAAAACUUUUUUAUUUUUCCCCAAAAUUUUUACUCCCUCCCACUUUCCCCCUAAAACUUUUACUCCCUUCCCAUCCCACCUCCCAUCUACCCCAAAACCAUCCCUCCUAAUUUUUUUUAAUAUUUUCCCUCCAAAACUUUACUCCCCAUUUACUUUCCCUCAAACUUUUAUUCCCCAAAACUUUUUAUUUUCCUCCUAAACUUUUACUUUUCACCUUUUACUCUCAAAUAAAAAAUUAAAAUUAUCCAAAAAAUAUCACUAAACAUAAAUAGUAAUAAAUUUAUUUAUAUAUACUAUUUAUAUUAUUAAAUUAAAUUUCACAUUUUAUAUUAUUUAUAUUAUUGAAUUGUUUAGUAUAUUGAAUAUUUAUAUUAAAAUUAGAUUAUUAAUUAUGCCAUAAAAUAUUCGUGCUAAAAUUUUAUAUUGGUAUCAAUUUCACAUUUUAUAUUUAAAAUAACUUUUAUUAAAAAAUCACAUUUUUACAUUUACUAUAUUUUUUAAUUCUAAAAUACAUAGUGGUAAUAAUCUGAAGAUAAUUGAAACAACUAAGCAAGCAAAGAAGCUAACCCGUAUAUAAAAGAUUAAUAAAUAAAUUAUGAGGUGAAGAAAGUUAAUAAAAAAUUUGAUUAAGGUGGACAAAUUUUAUUAUGAUAGGUGACAGUGGUUACAAGGACCCAAAAUUAUUUUUUAAAAUUUAACUCGAACAAAUAUAUUCGAUUCGAUUCGAUUCGAAUUUCAUCUCACUCGACUCGAUUCAAGAAAAUUUCAAAUAAAAUUAGGAUGAUAAAAUAUGAUUCGUCAACUUGAUUAACUCGAAAUUUUUUCAUUCGAUUCAAUUCGAUUCGAUCGAACGCUCACCCCUAAUGCCAAUCCUUACAAGACUCGGCCAUCUUUUACUAUAACCUUUGUUUUAUUGUUUUAUUGCUUUUCCUUUCCCUUUUUUUUUCUAUUUUUGUACUUUUGUUUUUCUUUUUGGAUGCCUUUGCUGCAUUGUGAUAUGGUGUCUGAUCUUUGAACAGACUACAAACUUUUAACAUUGUGCAGUUGUAUUAGAAAUGAUCCUUUUUGACAUUACUUGUCAGCAACUUUUUUUUUUUGAGAUUUGAUGACUAUUGAUAUUGUAAUAUUGACAUAUGAAGCAACCUUCACCCUCUUCAUGAAGUAAUCAAUGACUACCAAGAUGAAUCGAUGUAUAUUAGACGAGAAUAGCCUGAUAACAUCCAUGCCCCACAUAGAGAAAAUCUGUGAAGAAAUGAAUGAGGCACAUGAAUCUUGUCUCCCUAAAUAUAGCCUAACUAAUGCAAUCCCCUUCCAUGGUGGAUCAACAGUACCCAAACCCUAUGAUUAGCGUGGCUACCCUGAAACCAUUAACAUGUGUCCUUCUGACACCCGUAUAGACAUUUUUUAGCGUCCAAAAUUUUUAGCAUCCUAAGUAUAUCUGACAUGAUUAUGCGAUAACAUCUUUGAAUUCUUGGAAUAACUCAAUGACGAUUUGCUUUGUCUUUGUGGUGACUCAAGCUUCAAUCUUUGCCUUUUGCUCACAAUGUCAAUUGAUCCUUCGUAAAGUAGGAUCCGUUUUUCAUCUUGUUCUACCGUCCUUAAAAAAUCGAGAAAUAAGUCACAAUCUCUGUCAUCUUUAAAGUGCUGAGAUCCACUUAAACACAUAUCUCACCCCAAAAGGGAGUUAGUUACAGCAUUGCUCAUGUCGUUGAUAUCUGGGGACCUAUUGUAGGUACAAAGGAAAAUUCCAAAGAAUAAAUGAUUCUAAGGAUGAUUAUUUGUAUGGUAUGAUCAUGAAUGAAGAAUGAAAGCAUAUUAAAAAAAAUAGUCCAAAGAACAAAAGAAUAUAUAAAGAAUGAAAGAAUAUUUACUAAAAAAAUACAUUUUAUUGAAAUAAAGAUUUUUGGACACAAGCCUAUUUCACAAAAGGAUUCUUAUUGCCCCUAGGCUUAAAAGCAACAAACGCGUUUUGAACAUUACUCUAGAUUAGCUCUAAAAAUACAGGGAUCUCUUCCACAGUCCCAUUGCCUAAAACACCCCCAAGUACAUAAGGGUUUGGAAACUUUUGUUCCCUGGACCUCUCUUUAAAUAUGUCAUUCAAAUUCUAUUUGAUAACUAUUGGUUACAGCCUUUGGUUGGCCUAUGUUGACCAAUUUAGAAGGCAUGCUCAUGAUUUUCACUUCAUUUUCCUUGUUCAUCGGGGUUGCCCUUUUAACGCUCUCUCCCACAUCUAUCUGUCCAUUUCUUACCGCGCUUUCAAUCAUCUCACCAGACAUUACUAUAUUUGAAAAGCUCAGAGUAGCAUUUCCCAACAUAUAGUUAAUGAACGGGGCUUUCAAAGUAUGGAUGAAAAGCAUCGUAGUCUCAUUUUCCAGAAGAGGCGGUUGGACUUGUGUUGCUACCUCUCUCCAUCUUUGGGCAUAUUGCCUGAAGCUCUCAUUUUGCUUCUUUUCCAUAUUCUGCUAGGUAAUUCUGUCGGGUGCCAUAUCUGCUAUAUGACUAUACUGCUUCAUAAAAGCUUGUGCUAAGUCAUUCCAUGAAUGGAUUUUAACACGACUCAAUUGAUUGUACCAUUUAGCUGCUGACCCGAUCAGACUGUCUUGGAAGCAAUGAAUUAAUAAUUGGUCGUUGUUAACGUACCCUGUCAUCCUUCGACAGAACAUUGUGAUGUGAGCUUCAGGACAACUAGUCUCAUUGUACUUUUCAAACUCUGAAAUCUUAAAUUUUGGCGGGAGUACUAGAUCGGGGACCAAACUCAAAUCUUUGGCAUCAAUCCCACAGUAGAAGUCAACAUUCUCUAUUGCCUUCAAUUUUUCCUCCAACCACCUAUACCGAUCCUCAAGUUGUCUUGGCAGUUCCCUCUUUACUUUUUCCAUUUCAUCCAAAUCAGGAGCUUCAAGAUUGGUUGGGUUGCCCUCUAGAUUGGAGGUUAAGCCUAUUGGGUAAUCUACUGGUGCCGAGGUACCAACUUGAUAUUGCUGAGUUCUGAUAACAACUACACCUUGUGGACAUGUCUGAACAUUUUUCGGGAUGAAACCUGGAGGGUUGUUCUCCCCAGCAUUAAUCAUGGAACUUUUUCGUUCUUCAAGCCCCUUAGUCAGCAAUUGGGACAACUGAUUCAUCACAUUCCUUUGAGACUCUAGCACCUGGUCUCUCAUAUCUUGUCAAAUCUUCACCAGUUGCUCUUGCAUCUGUAUUUGUAACUGGUCUUCCAUCUCUCUUUGAAGUUGUUCAAGUCUUUAUAAUCUUUGGUCCAUAUCUUUUGUCUUAGCAUGGGUACCGUAACAACGCUUGUUUGGUAAGUUUUUAUUGGUUUCCAAAUUAACUGAAAUGAUUUUAACUAAUUAGAGACCCUUUUUAUAAAAAUCUAAUUCAAAUGAUGCAACGAUGUAAUGCAAUGCAAAUGCAUGGGAUGAAUGCAAAAGAAAGAAAUGUGUUGAUUUUGAAUUUAAUUCCAUUAGAAAAAUUUUUCUAGAAAACAAAUUCCUUUACAUAAAACGGAUUACAUAUACGGCCUUACUUUCAUAUUCCAGGUGAAGACACUAAUCCCUUUUCUUCGUGAAAGUUAAAUUUCACAAGCUUUUAAUAAAUGCCUCCACUAGCUCCCUUUUGCUUGAUCCAGGCCGCAACUUAUUAUCCUCGCGAUGUUGAUUAGCUCCUUUAAGAAAAUCGAGACGUGACAACUCUCGAAUAAUCUUUAUCGGCUUGAAUUCUCCGGUAAAGUCUUGCUUUCCUCCGUGAACCAUCAACCUUUUUCGGUUGUGUUUACUUGGACCAUAUUCAGACAACCGUAUUAUAAUCCACUUUAUUAAGAAAUUUGUUUUCUUAGGACAAACUAUUCUAUUUAGCAAUCAAAUAUGAAUCAACACCUCCUUUCUAUGAUGAUGUAAUGCAAUGCAAUUAUAAACAAAAAAAAAACAAAACACGUUAGUACAGAAGAAAUAAAUAACAAAUAAAACACAUAUUCGGGUGACCACUAAAUUUGGGCAAGGUUCUACCUAAGGUGGAUUCUCGAGGUUCACUAUAUGUGGCUUGGUUCUAGAGAAAGGGUACCUGAACCAGUAGGUUCCUCAAUCCUCACCCAUUAUAGGCUCAUAUGGAUUGAGUUCAGUUCAGGGGAAUACAUUUCCCUAUGAUCAUGUAGAGAUGAAAAUCUCACGAAAUCAUAGGUAUGGAUGUAUCCCGGAAGUAAUCUACUAACCCAUGCGGAGGUGAAAACCUCACGAAAGCAUAGUUUCUUACUCCCACUUAACAGGUAUAACCACAGCGGUAAUGCAAUGCAAUGCAAUAUUAUUCUACAAGACCUGAACCACAAUAAUCAUACAAACAAAUGCAAUCAAAAGAAUCAUGAUUUUCAAAACAAAUUUUCAAUUCUUUGCCAAAAGGACAACAAAUAACCAAUUUUAUGGCUUGACUCUCUUGUUCAAUCCCCAGUGGAGUCGCCAAGCUAUCGAAACCAUUUUUUAUUUUUGGAAAAAAAGGGAUCGACUUUUAAAACCAAAUGUGGAGUCGCCACCAAUCUUUUUGUUUAAGUGUGAUUGAGUCACCUAAUAAAACAUUUUGUUUCAUUCAAAUCAAUUUUGGUCCACGUAAAUUUAAAAAAAAAGGGUUCGGGAGCCGGUUACGUGUGAAGAAGGGUUAGCACCCUCACUACGCCCAAAAACUGGUACCAGAUUGAUUAAGUGUUGUCCUUAUGUCUAAGGUUUUUAAAAAAAGUUGAAAUAUGGUUCCUUUUAAAACAUUUGAGUGGCUCAAGUUGGUCGUCAAAAUUCUCUCAUUUCAAAGGUAUAUAGCAUCACAUCCAGCACGAUAGGACACGAUCCUUUAUACCUUUGAAAACACGAUUGAUUUUUUACUCCCAAAAGCUCUUAGGUUGAAAAUUACAAAAGGGAUGUUCAAUUAUUUAGUCCAACGAAAAAUCGAAACCCAGUACGGUAGGGCACGACUUCCCGAGUUUCCAAAUAUUGAACAUUGCAUUUGUUUUAAUGAAUUUUCCAAUAAACAAUUAUGAAACCCGCUCAAAAUGCAUUUAUUUAGUUCGUUUGGGAUAUAAAAGAACAAAACAAUUAAAAAUUGGGCCCAAAUACGUGGGAGACAAAACAUGGUAUCAAGCAUAGCACAAAUAUAUGUGAAUUCAACAUAAAAUUACACUAUUGAAUAACAAAGAUAACAAUGCGAACAUACAAUUUGACAUAUACAAUAAUGACCUCCCAUCCCUUCAUAUUGAAGUAAUAUUAACAAUCAAAGCCUAAUGAACUUCCUUUUUCGAAAAUAUAUAUUUUAUAACAUUUACAUGGAAAAUUAAUAAAAUGUAAAACAAAUUUUGAAGGGUAAUAAAAGAAUUUAAAAAAAAUGAAGGGGAAAAAAAUUGAAACCAAUACAUGUAUGUAAUUUUAAACUAAAUUAUAUGUACAAAAGUUUUAAAAAUAGGCAACAUGAGGGAAUUCAAAAUAAAGUUUGAAAUCAAUGAAAUACAAAACAAUCUGAAUUAAAAUUGAUAACAUACAUAAAAUGCAAAACUUAAUAAAAUUAAUAUAUAUAUAUGUAUAAAAAUAAGAGAUGAAAGUGUUAAUAUAUAUAUUAUAUAAUAAAGUAGGCUCUUUAAACGAGCUAGCUUAUGUAAUUAAAUUCAAGAAGUGAUAUAUACAUAAAAUAAUAUGAAAUCAACACUAUAUAUAAAAAAUAAUGUAUAAUAUAAUUUUUAAAAUAAUAUAUAAUGUAUAAUGUAUAAAUUUUGAAAACAAAAAUACAUGUAUAAAGAAAAUUUCAAAAUAGAAAUUUUACAUAAUAGAACAAUUUAAAGAAACAAUUAUACAAAUGAAUGAAAAAACAAAUUAAAGCAAUAUUUAAAAAACUAUGUUAAGAUAAUUUUAAAAACAAAUAAUAAAAUCUUAAAUAAAAAUGAAUAAAACAUAAAUUAAAAAAACUCCAUUGAAAUAAAAAUAAGAUUAAGAGGACAAUUUAUAAACAAAUAAAAUUAAUAAAACCAAAGAUUAGACUAAGAUGAAACAUGCACCAAUGGUCAGGGAUCUAAAAUAAAAAUAUCCCAAGCUUUGAAACGCUGCAUUUAAACAAGGACCAAAUUGCAGCAAUGCGUAAAUCACAGGGAAAAUGUAAAAACAAAUAAACAGAAUCAAGGCCGAAAAACAGAUCAAUGCAGGAUAGGAGGGACUCGUCGCACAAAUUGACCUUUCAAGGUGAAAAGGAGCGGAUCCGGGCCUCCAAACGGGUCAACGCGCGGAUCUUUGUUUCCAAACGGCACCGUUUCACUUUGUUAACACCAGAUCAAAAGAAAGGAAAAGAAAACCCUAAAAUUAACACUCAUCCACUUAAAAGCAAAUAAAAAAAACUUAAAGCUUAUUCCCCUUUAUUCAUUCGGUCGAACUUAGGACAUCUUUCAACUGCCGAUCUAUCCCCAUAUUCGGCAAAUGAACAUCGCAUGAAGGCCUAAUUUGGCCUUGUUAGACCACGAGUCCACUCAGAAGCUUCAAGAUCCUCGCUUAAGCUUUGAUUACGACGAAGCAAGCAAGGACAUGAAGGAGCCAGCAUUAAGGUAAGUCCCUUUCUCCUUAUUUUUCUGUGAAAAAUCUAUAUGUAGGAACAAAGAAAAAAAAAACUAAAUCAGAACACGGAAAAAUAAAUAUGAAAUCACCUUAGUUUUUCAUUGCUUUUUCUUUUGUAUCUAGUAUUUCGUAAUCCCCAUUUUUACAGAUUACAUUCGAUUUUAUAGCCGAAGAGAAGAAAAAAUAAGAAUAAAUCAAAAAAAUCCAAUUUCCUUGCUGUCAUUUCUGUUUCUCGUGUAUUCUGUUGCAGGUACGAACGGAGCCAGCUAGAGGUGGUGACGCACGUGGGAUGAGACAUGAAGACACAUGUGGGGCUGGUACGGAGGCAGCAGCGGUUUGGUGGAAGCUGCUGGAAACCAGUUACGACACAAGGGAAAGGCACCUUAGGGUUCCAAAAGUUUCAAUUUGCUUGGGCGAUUUAGGCUAAUUUCGAAAUUGGGCCAUUGGGUCUAUAAAUUAAAUUUAGCUUGGGUAAUAAUUUGGGCUAAAAACUUGUAUUUGGGUCUGGUGAAAAUUGUAAUGAAUUAUUUCGGAUUUUGGGCUUUAAUUUAAUUUGGGACUUUUAUUAUUUUUUUAUAUUUUGGUUUUUUUUUUAUUAUCUUUUGGGUUCAUAGUGGGCCGGACAAACUGAGCCUGCUACAAGGGUGUUACAGCCAGAGCUGGUAAAAUUCACUUUUUAGAAAAUAAUUUCGAAUUAGUUUCAAAAAUAAUUAAUAAUUUAACUCGUUUUAGGAAAAAUAUCAGUUUAAUUAAGUUAUCUUGUUAUUUUAAUUUUAGUUCCAAAGUUGUUAGAAAAAUCAUAUUUAAACAAUUUU